rnacentral:rRNA from 1 species
UGGGGAAUAUUGGACAAUGGGCGCAAGCCUGAUCCAGCCAUGCCGCGUGAGUGAUGAAGGCCCUAGGGUUGUAAAGCUCUUUCACCGGUGAAGAUAAUGACGGUAACCGGAGAAGAAGCCCCGGCUAACUUCGUGCCAGCAGCCGCGGUAAUACGAAGGGGGCUAGCGUUGUUCGGAUUUACUGGGCGUAAAGCGCACGUAGGCGGACUAUUAAGUCAGGGGUGAAAUCCCGGGGCUCAACCCCGGAACUGCCUUUGAUACUGGUAGUCUUGAGUUCGAGAGAGGUGAGUGGAAUUCCGGGUGUAGAGGUGAAAUUCGUAGAUAUUCGGAGGAAAACCAGUGGCGAAGGCGGCUCACUGGCUCGAUACUGACGCUGAGGUGCGAAAGCGUGGGGAGCAAACAGG